GAAAUGGGCAGUUUGUAGAAUCAAGGGAGAAAGAGGAAAAGCUGGGCUAGAUUAUAGAACGUGAAUAACAAACUGAUGAUUUGUGAUUCUACCCGUAUGCAGCAUCAGGUCUUCGAGGGUAUUUUGAAAUGAGCCCUUUGAGUGUGGUGUGGAGCAUGGACAGAAGAUGACACAGAUCAGCAGGAAAGCCAAUGAGUGACAUCUCAGCAGUGCCAGCUCAUGGAAAUGAGGGCCCUGCAUGGGCAUUUGGAGUGAGAAGGAAGGCAGCAGAUGUGGGGACAUCAUAGACGUUGACUUGGCAGAAUGUGUUUCAUGACAAGGUAGAAUGGGAAGGAGAGCCCCAGUUGCUCCUCUGUCAAGGACUGAGCCAUGGAGCAGAAGGGGAGUCCAUUCCCACUGUAAACACAAGCAGAGGAACAGAGGAUCCAGAGCCAGUCCUGUGUAUUGCAAGGAAGAAGAUGCCUCUUUAUACUUUGGAUCAUGAAUCUGUCCCCAUUUUUAUUCUCUCAGUGAUUGCAUUACAUUCUUCACUUCCCAAUUAAAGAUUGAUUCAUAAGGUCAUAUUUGCAAGUAUACGUAACUCUGGGAAAUGUAAAUUGACAUAAAUUGUUUAUGUUUCGCCCAGUGUCUCAUUGAAAGGAUAGGAACAGAGGGUAAAAGAGAAAAUGGGAUACUUUCUGGAAGAAAUGCUACAAUGCCACAGUGAUGGUAUCAGAGUGGCUGAUAGCAGACACCAGGGAUAUGGGCAAGAGGGCAUCUCACUUCUGCUCAGGUGAAGGCCCUGGCUCUGGCCCAUGAGAAACCCCUCAUCAUCCAGGGGAAGAGGCAGAAGGAGACCCUUGCCAGGCUUUAUUAUGUACUGCCUUCCACCAGCCAGAGAACACAAAGGAUCCAGGGCUCCUGCAGGUGAUUGAAAAGAAGAACUGAUUUUUAAGCAUUUUACUUUAAAAUGUACAUUUCCUUCUGUUUACAUCUGCAUAUAUCUUUCCACUGAUGUGGCAGCUUAAAUGCUUUAUUUACUUUUUAAAGCUCUACAAUUGGCUUUUAAGUUGUGGUUACAGCUCCUGUCCUUUUCCAGAUGCGAUCCAAUUGUACACAAACACAUAAACAAUUAAAAUGGCGAGAUGAGGUGGGGAAAAGGGCAAUAAAAAUGGUCAGAGUCAAUUAAACCA
rnacentral:lncRNA from 1 species